GAGGGUAGGCCCCUCGGAACCGUCUUUCAGGAGGAGGUUCCAAACCACCUUAAGCUGCUGUGGUUAAGAGCCAUGGUGGUGAGCGUUAAGGAAAAGGCAUUCUAGAAAUGUCAGGU
rnacentral:ncRNA from 1 species